AGAUACCCCUGGUANUCCCACUCNGUAAACGAUGAAUGCUAGCUGUUGGGGUGCUUGCACUUCAGNAGCGCAGCUAACGCUUUAAGCAUUCCGCNUGGGGAGUACGGUCGNCAAGAUUAAAACUCAAAAGGAAAUNGACGGGGGCCCCGCACAAGCGGUGGAGCAUGUGGUUUAAUUNGAAGCAAGCGCGCAGAACCUUACCAUCCUUUGACAUGGCGUGUUAUGGGGAGAGAUCCUCAGUCCUNUUCGGAGGCGCGCACACAGGUGCUGCAUGGCUGUCGUCAGCUCGUGUCGUGAGAUGUUGGGUUAAGUCCCGCAACGAGCGCAACCCACGUCCUUAGUUGCCAUCAUUCAGUUGGGCACUCUAGGGAGACUGCCGGUGAUAANCCGCGAGGAAGGUGUGGAUGACGUCAAGUCCUCAUGGCCCUUACGGGAUGGGCUACACACGUGCUACAAUGGCGGUGACAGUGGGAUGCGAAGGGGCGACCUGGAGCAAAUCCCCAAAAACCGUCUCAGUUCAGAUUGCACUCUGCAACUCGAGUGCAUGAAGGCGGAAUCGCUAGUAAUCGUGGAUCAGCAUGCCACGGUGAAUACGUUCCCGGGCCUUGUACACACCGCCCGUCACACCAUGGGAGUUGGUCUUACCCGACGGCGCUGCGNCAACCGCCANGGAGGCAGGCGACCCUC
rnacentral:rRNA from 1 species